CUUAACUCCACACUGUGCUUCUUUGCACACAGCUAGCUAGAAAAUCAUUGAAAACGUUUCCGGAAGUGAUCGACAUAGAAAUGGCGACUAACGGUAGCGACAUGCCGCCUGGGGAUGAUGCCGAGAACAGUGAUGAAGACAUUUGCGUCAUUUGUUUCUGUCCGAAAGAGAAUCCCUUGAAGUUGAGUUGCCAACACUCGUUCUGUUCGGUCUGCAUCGAAUUUAUCACUGUCAAUUCAGAGACCGAACGUUGUCCCGUGUGCCGCAAAUGGUUUGACAUAUCGAAGGUCUUGGCCAAGUCCCGCAAAUAAGACUAAAGGAUGGAUAAUAUGUGUAAAUGCUAACUGGAAUUUAUGUACACACGCAAAAACCAAUAAAUUCCUGUUCAUAUAAA